GCACGGAGUAGUAGGGGGAGCUCGGGGGGGGGGGGUGGGGGGGCGGGAGUGGGCUCAGCUGGGAGGUCUGAGCCCCAGAGGCGACCCCUGGGGCUUACUUAUCUCAGGCGCCCAGGCUCCAGCCCAGAUAAGAGCCGAGUCGGGGGAGCACGGGAGGCGGGCAGGGCCCCCCCGAGGGCCCCCCACUUCUCGGAGGUCCCCGGGGGGUGGGGCUGGAGUCCUGGUCCUGAGGGGGGGGGGCGUGGACAGCCCCUCCCCCUCCCCUGUGGCUCUCGGCCGUGCCAUCUGCUCUGGGCCCCCCCCCCAUCGCAGGCCGGCUCUGGGAUUCCCCAGCCCGAGGGAUGGGCGCGGGAGAGCCGCCCCCACCCCAGGGCCGGAGUCCCGCCCACGCCCUGCAGGGACCCAACCCUCCGGCCCCGGCCCCGGGGCUGCGUGUGGCCUAAUGGCAGCAGGUGGCAGGGAGGCCUCCCCCUUCAGGCUGUUAGACACCCCACCCCAGCUGCUUCCCCGCCCCCCGCGGGGAGGGACAGACCUCUGCCCGCGGAGGGGGCGUGGGGAGCCCCAGUCGCACCUCCGGGCCUUUGCACUGGCUGUUCCCGCUGCCUGAACCGCCCUCCCCGGGUCACCCCAUGGCCGGUGCCUUCUCCCGACUCCAACUGGAACGUCCGCCCCUAGGAGCGACCCCCCCACCACGACCUCCCAGAGUCCCCAUCACCCCAUCACGCCGCCCUCCUUUAUCUCCAUCGAAAGGCUUCUGUUUCAAAACAGCUCUAUUUACUUAACCUACUUGGCCCUGCCGGCGGCUGGGUCCCCAGCCUUGAGGCUGGCCUGGUACACAGUGGAGCUCAAUACGUGUUGUUUGAUGGAUGAA
rnacentral:lncRNA from 1 species